rnacentral:rRNA from 1 species
AUUGAACGCUGGCGGCAUGCUUUACACAUGCAAGUCGAACGGUAACAGGCCGCAAGGUGCUGACGAGUGGCGAACGGGUGAGUAAUGCAUCGGAACGUGCCCAGUCGUGGGGGAUAACGCAGCGAAAGCUGUGCUAAUACCGCAUACGAUCUAUGGAUGAAAGCGGGGGACCGUAAGGCCUCGCGCGAUUGGAGCGGCCGAUGUCAGAUUAGCUAGUUGGUGGGGUAAAGGCCCACCAAGGCGACGAUCUGUAGCUGGUCUGAGAGGACGACCAGCCACACUGGGACUGAGACACGGCCCAGACUCCUACGGGAGGCAGCAGUGGGGAAUUUUGGACAAUGGGCGCAAGCCUGAUUCAGCAAUGCCGCGUGCAGGAAGAAGGCCUUCGGGUUGUAAACUGCUUUUGUACGGAACGAAACGGUCUGGGUUAAUACCCUGGGCUAAUGACGGUACCGUAAGAAUAAGCACCGGCUAACUACGUGCCAGCAGCCGCAGUAAAAC